rnacentral:sRNA from 1 species
GCCGGGUGUGGUGUCACACGCCUGUAAUCCCAGUGGCUCGGGAGGUGGAGACAGGAGAAUUGCCAAGUUCAAAGCUAGCCUCAGCAAUUUAGUGAGACCCUGUCUCUC